rnacentral:rRNA from 1 species
GACGAACGCUGGCGGCGUGCUUAACACAUGCAAGUCGAACGGUGACGGAGAGCUUGCUCUCCUGAUCAGUGGCGAACGGGUGAGUAACACGUGGGCAACCUGCCCAGACUUCGGGAUAACGCUUCGAAAGAGGUGCUAAUACCGGAUACGAGCUCCUUGGGCAUCCUUGGAGUUGGAAAGUUUUUCGGUCUGGGAUGGGCCCGCGGCCUAUCAGCUAGUUGGUGAGGUAACGGCUCACCAAGGCGACGACGGGUAGCCGGCCUGAGAGGGCGACCGGCCACACUGGGACUGAGACACGGCCCAGACUCCUACGGGAGGCAGCAGUGGGGAAUAUUGCGCAAUGGGCAAAGCCUGACGCAGCAACGCCGCGUGAGGGAUGA